rnacentral:lncRNA from 1 species
CGCCGCCACCGCCGUCGCCUCGGUGUUCGCCAGCACCUUGUCCAGGCCGCCUUCCAGGAUCUUGAUGGUCCUAUCCUUGUUCACGAUCUUGUCCAACCCGAAGAGGCCGAUGCGGAACGUGAAGUUCCCGGGGGGCUCGCCAAUCAUAAACGGCACGCCCGCGGCCACCUGGAAACCCUCAGCCUUGAACUGCUGGAACAUGUCCGGGCUCGACGUGUACCACACGUUCACGCCCGGGGCCUCGUACCCGGGCGCGCUCACCGUCCUCAGACCCUUGGACUUCAUCAUGUCGCGGCACUCGUUCCCGAGGUCCCACGCCAUCUGCUUCGCCUUGCCAAACCCGAGCUCCUUCGUCUCCAGCGCCGCGUCUCGAAAGAGGUUCAGCGCGUCGGUGGGCAUGGUGGUGUAGUAGGCGAACCCCCCGGCGUUGUACGAGUCCAUCACCUCGAGCCAUUUCCUCAUGUUGAUCACCAUGGACGUGGACGUGGUGUUGCGCGUCGCGUAGUCGCCUCGUUCGCUGAGCAUCAUGAGCGAAGAGCACGCGGGACCCGUCCACCCUUUCUGCGGCGCCGAGAGGAUGGCGUCGACGCCCGUCGCCUUCAUGUCCACCCACACGGUACCGGACGCGAUGCAGUCGAGGACGAAGAGCCCACCGUGCGCGUG